rnacentral:rRNA from 1 species
AUACGGAGGAUGCAAGCGUUAUCCGGAUUUAUUGGGUUUAAAGGGUGCGUAGGCGGAUGAUUAAGCGUGAGGUGAAAUGCCACUGCUCAACAGUGGAACUGCCUCGCGAACUGGUUGUCUUGAAUGCUCCUGCCGUGGGAGGAAUGUGUGGUGUAGCGGUGAAAUGCAUAGAGAUCACACAGAACACCGAUUGCGAAGGCAUCUCACGAAGGGGUGGUUGACGCUGAGGCACGAAAGCGUGGGGAUCAAACAGGAUUAGAUACCCUGGUAGUCCACGCGGUAAACGAUGAUGGCUAACCGCUGGGCUUAUCAGUUCAGUGGCCAAGCGAAAGCGAUAAGCCAUCCACCUGGGGAGUACGACCGCAAGGUUGAAACUCAAAUGAAUUGACGGGG